AGGUUCCUCUCCCCGCCCCUUUCCUCGGUCUUGCGAGUUACCUCUCAGCGGAGCAGCCGCAGCGUCGCUGCCAGCGAGCAAGAGGAUCACGUUCCCACUCGAUUUGAAUUUCCUUGUUUUAACCGUGCAGGAAAAGCGGGUGAUUUCAGUGCAGCCAAAGCCCUUUAAACGCAGCAUCUCUCCCACCCGCCCCAUCAAAAAAAAAAAAAAAAAAAAAAAAAAAAAGUGCCAGGGUCAAGAGCUGCUGCUCUCCUUUAUGAUUUUGUUGGUGCAUUUAUUAGUUUAGUAUUGGGUUUUUCCACUAGCUCAAUUUGAAAGCUUACCAUCGAGGAUAUUCACUUCUUUAUAAUGGGUGGGAGGGGUGCACAUAAUUGGGAGAAACACACAGGAGGGGGAAGAAAUCAGUGUUUUCUAAGGAUCGAGUGUCUGCAAGAAGAAAUUUCGGUUUCCCUCCAACCGCCCCCAUCUCGACUCUCCUCUCGCCCACCCAAACGCUGUAGUUACUAAGCAAAAGGAAGGGCUUCUUUAACUUUGAUUUCUAAGGACUUUGAGACUCCGCGUCUGAGGCUCCGUUUUGGGCUCCCGGCUGGCCCGGAGUCAGCACCAGUGACGUACACACCUAAAUCUGGUCCCCCGGCCCUCGGCGACCCGCAGCCCGGUGGUGGCAGCUGUGCAGCCUCCCGCCUCACCCUUGCCUCGCACCCGCCAAAGUCGGAGGGCGGGGGGGGGGGGUCAACCUGUCUGUGCCCAAAGGCCCCUCCUCUCUUUACAGUAAUUAAGCUUCGGGAUUCCAGACCCCGAACCCAGGAAGACUCGAAUUCGCCGCCGCUCCAGAGACAUGUCUAGCAAGAAGUUGCUGUAGCUGAGGUCGAAGAGGUUACUGCCUGUGUUCUCUAUAGCCAAACUGUGGAAAGAGCUGAGAUGCCCACUGACAGAUGAAUUGAUAAAGAAGAUGUGGGCAGCAGGAGUGGCAGAGAUGGGAAGAAAAGCCUUUUUAACGUAUGGCACAAGAUAGAUUGGAUAUCCAAAUGGAAAAAAAGCUGUGUGGAGAUCCAUGAGAUCCAGGAAGCAGGAGUGGAAAGGGGAAUCAAUCGGAAGUCCAGUGUUCUCCAAGGUUUACUGGCAGAUAAGGGGUAUGCGUGUGUGUACAUAUAUACAUAUGUAUAUAUGAAUAUACAUAUAUAUUCAGACUCUAGCAUAGAAUGAGGUUUUCUGACCUGUCUUAUAAGCAUGUAUUAAGCACUUAUUAGGUGUUAAAGAGUUGUCUAAAUGAUA